AUACGUAGGGGGCAAGCGUUGUCCGGAAUUAUUGGGCGUAAAGCGCGCGCAGGCGGUCUCUUAAGUCUGAUGUGAAAGCCCACGGCUCAACCGUGGAGGGUCAUUGGAAACUGGGGGACUUGAGUGUAGGAGAGGAAAGUGGAAUUCCACGUGUAGCGGUGAAAUGCGUAGAGAUGUGGAGGAACACCAGUGGCGAAGGCGACUUUCUGGCCUAUAACUGACGCUGAGGCGCGAAAGCGUGGGGAGCAAACAGGAUUAGAUACCCUGGUAGUCCACGCCGUAAACGAUGAGUGCUAGGUGUUAGGGGUUUCGAUACCCUUAGUGCCGGCGUUAACACAUUAAGCACUCCGCCUGGGGAGUACGGCCGCAAGGUUGAA
rnacentral:rRNA from 1 species